AAAGAAAGAAAGAAAGAAAAGAAAGAGAGGAAGAACGAAAAGAAAAAAUUCAUCGAUGAUUC
rnacentral:ribozyme from 1 species